AUGAAAUUUUCUCACAUCAAAAAAAAAAACCUUAAAUUCAAUCAUACCUAUAAAAGUUUAAUUUUUAAGCUUCAGAAUAUAUGAUGUAUAGGAGAAUAGUUAGUGCUCUAGGAAAGCAGUAAGAUGAGUAAAAAUGUGGAUCAAUCUAUGUGGCAAUUGAGAGUGCUUCUAUAAUAAGACAAUGACAUUGGAUUAAAAAGUGGGGGACUUCUGGAUUUAUAGAGGCUUAAGGCACACAAUGAAGUGCAAUCAUUAUGACUGGAAAUUUUGUAAAAGGACAUUUUUGAUAAAUUAGGGAAGUUUGAUAUAUAUCAGGUAUUAGAUGUUAUUAAGUUAUGGUUAAUGUUGUUAGAUGUUUAAUAUUAUUUAAUAUAAAGAGCAUAUUCUUAUAUUUUGAAUAUUCAGUUAUCAUGGGCUGAGGAUGUUAUGAUGUAACAGAUUUGUCUCAAGAAGCUUUGGCAAGAAAAGGACAAGAAAGGAAGUGACAGAUAAAACAAGUGUGAUGAAGAUAAUUGUAUCAUCAGGCGGGAUUGGAAUAGGCUUGCAUGCUGAAGGGAAUGAUUCAUUUGAAGGGAGAAACCACAGCAGACUGAAGAAGAGCAAUUGCUGAAGCAAUAGAUGUGAGUAAGCUGGAAAGGAUGAAACCUAAUGCAGCGGAGAAGGGUUGGCUUCCGCUGAAGAGUUCUUCUGUGAUAAGAGGAGAGAGGGCUAAGCACGUGCUUAGCAAUAAAGGAGGAGAAAAGUUGCCUUCCGCUGAAGAGUUCUUCUGUUGAUAAGGAGGAAAGAGGACUCAGCAUGUGGGUUUUGAUAAGAAGAGCUUCAUCGGGCAGGUAACAUUUGUUCUGGAACUUAAAGAAUGAAUAGAAUAAGAAUGAAGAGUAUUUCAAACACAGACAUAAGAAACUGGAAAGACAUUUUGGGUAGGGUGUGAGGGAAGAACAAUCCAUUCUGGUUAACCACUUCCAAGAGAGGGUAAAUAAACAGACACAUAGAUACUAUUGAUGUUAUAUU
rnacentral:lncRNA from 13 species